CCUACGGGGGGCAGCAGUGGGGGAUAUUGCACAAUGGGGGGAACCCUGAUGCAGCGACGCCGCGUGGGUGAAGGAGCGUUUCGGCGCGUAAAGCCCUAUCGGCAGGGAAGAAGGAGGACGGUACCUGACUAAGAAGCCCCGGCUAACUACGUGCCAGCAGCCGCGGUAAUACGUAGGGGGCAAGCGUUAUCCGGAAUUACUGGGUGUAAAGGGAGCGUAGACGGUGAUGUAAGUCUGGAGUGAAAGGCGGGGGCCCAACCCCCGGACUGCUCUGGAAACUAUGUGACUGGAGUGCAGGAGAGGUGAGCGGAAUUCCUAGUGUAGCGGUGAAAUGCGUAGAUAUUAGGAGGAACACCAGUGGCGAAGGCGGCUCACUGGACUGUAACUGACGUUGAGGCUCGAAAGCGUGGGGAGCAAACAGGAUUAGAUACCCCAGUAGUC
rnacentral:rRNA from 1 species